UUACCCCAUGUCAUGGUACUCAGUGCUUU
rnacentral:piRNA from 1 species